rnacentral:rRNA from 1 species
AUUGAACGCUGGCGGCAUGCCUUACACAUGUAAGUCGAACGGCAGCACGGGAGCAAUCCUGGUGGCGAGUGGCGAACGGGUGAGUAAUAUAUCGGAACGUGCCCAGUAGUGGGGGAUAACUGCUCGAAAGAGCAGCUAAUACCGCAUACGACCUGAGGGUGAAAGCGGGGGAUCGCAAGACCUCGCGCUAUUGGAGCGGCCGAUAUCAGAUUAGCUGGUUGGUGAGGUAAGGGCUCACCAAGGCGACGAUCUGUAGCUGGUCUGAGAGGACGACCAGCCACACUGGGACUGAGACACGGCCCAGACUCCUACGGGAGGCAGCAGUGGGGAAUUUUGGACAAUGGGCGCAAGCCUGAUCCAGCCAUGCCGCGUGCGGGAAGAAGGCCUUCGGGUUGUAAACCGCUUUUGUCAGGGAAGAAACGGCUCCUACUAAUACUGGGGGCUAAUGACGGUACCUGAAGAAUAAGCACCGGCUAACUACGUGCCAGCCGCCGCCGUAA